GCAAUCCGCGGAUCGGUCACAUGCAAGCUUGCAGAACUUGAGAAAUCAACAAUCGCUUCAAAAUAUAAAAUAAAAAAAUGUCGAAAAUAAUUUUAUUGUUAUCAAUUUUCGUAUUGGCUCUUAUCUAUUCUGGUGUAUAUGCAGGUUGUCCUGGACAAUGGUGCCAUCCAUCACAAGGAUAUGGCUGUUGUAAUGUAUAUAAAUGCGGUCAAUAUUAUAUUCAAAGUUCAUGCAUUACUCUUGAAGAUGCGAAACGAACUGGACCCAUGUUCGGAAAAUAAUUAUAACAAUACAAUGGAAAUUUAUAAAUAUAUUUUAUAAAUUAAUAAAAAUCUCUGAUUUACAAAAAAA